rnacentral:rRNA from 1 species
AAACCAGCACCUCAAGUGGUCAGGAGGAUUAUUGGGCCUAAAGCAUCCGUAGCCUGUUCUGUAAGUUUUCGGUUAAAUCCAUUGGCUCAACUAAUGGGCUGCCGAAAAUACUGUAGAACUAGGGAGUGGGAGAGGUAGACGGUAUUCGGUAGGAAGGGGUAAAAUCCUUUGAUCUAUUGAGGACCACCUGUGGCGAAGGCGGUCUACCAGAACACGUUCGACGGUGAGGGAUGAAAGCUGGGGGAGCAAACCGGAUUAGAAACCCCGGUAGUCC